rnacentral:rRNA from 1 species
AGUGAACGCUGGCGGUAGGCCUAACACAUGCAAGUCGAACGGCAGCACAGUAAGAGCUUGCUCUUACGGGUGGCGAGUGGCGGACGGGUGAGGAAUACAUCGGAAUCUACUUUUUCGUGGGGGAUAACGUAGGGAAACUUACGCUAAUACCGCAUACGACCUACGGGUGAAAGCAGUGGAUCUUCGGACCUUGCGCGAUUGAAUGAGCCGAUGUCGGAUUAGCUAGUUGGCGGGGUAAAGGCCCACCAAGGCGACGAUCCGUAGCUGGUCUGAGAGGAUGAUCAGCCACACUGGAACUGAGACACGGUCCAGACUCCUACGGGAGGCAGCAGUGGAGAAUAUUGGACAAUGGGCGCAAGCCUGAUCCAGCCAUACCGCGUGGGUGAAGAAGGCCUUCGGGUUGUAAAGCCCUUUUGUUGGGAAAGAAAAGCAGCAGGUUAAUACCCCGCUGUUCUGACGGUACCCAAAGAAUAAGCACCGGCUAACUACGCG